rnacentral:rRNA from 1 species
GAUGAACGCUGGCGGCGUGCCUAAUACAUGCAAGUCGAGCGAACGGACGAGAAGCUUGCUUUUCUGAUGUUAGCGGCGGACGGGUGAGUAACACGUGGAUAACCUAUCUAUAAGACUGGGAUAACUUCGGGAAACCGGAUCUAAUACCGGAUAAUAUUUUGAACCGCAUGGUUCAAAAGUGAAAGACGGUCUUGCUGUCACUUAUAGAUGGAUCCGCGCUGCAUUAGCUAGUUGGUAAGGUAACGGCUUACCAAGGCAACGAUGCAUAGCCGACCUGAGAGGGUGAUCGGCCACACUGGAACUGAGACACGGUCCAGACUCCUACGGGAGGCAGCAGUAGGGAAUCUUCCGCAAUGGGCGAAAGCCUGACGGAGCAACGCCGCGUGAGUGAUGAAGGUCUUCGGAUCGUAAAACUCUGUUAUUAGGGAAGAACAUAUGUGUAAGUAACUGUGCACAUCUUGACGGUACCUAAUCAGAAAGCCACGGCUAACUACGUG